rnacentral:rRNA from 1 species
CCUACGGGUGGCAGCAGUGAGGAAUAUUGGUCAAUGGACGAGAGUCUGAACCAGCCAAGUAGCGUGAAGGAUGACUGCCCUAUGGGUUGUAAACUUCUUUUAUAUGGGAAUAAAAUGGUCCACGUGUGGGAUUUUGUAUGUACCAUAUGAAUAAGGAUCGGCUAACUCCGUGCCAGCAGCCGCGGUAAUACGGAGGAUCCGAGCGUUAUCCGGAUUUAUUGGGUUUAAAGGGAGCGUAGGUGGAUUGUUAAGUCAGUUGUGAAAGUUUGCGGCUCAACCGUAAAAUUGCAGUUGAAACUGGCAGUCUUGAGUACAGUAGAGGUGGGCGGAAUUCGUGGUGUAGCGGUGAAAUGCUUAGAUAUCACGAAGAACUCCGAUUGCGAAGGCAGUUCACUGGACUGCAACUGACACUGAGGCUCGAAAGUGUGGGUAUCAAACAGGAUUAGAUACCCUAGUAGUC